rnacentral:rRNA from 1 species
AGCGAACGCUGGCGGCAGGCUUAACACAUGCAAGUCGAGCGGGCGUAGCAAUACGUCAGCGGCAGACGGGUGAGUAACGCGUGGGAACAUACCUUUUGGUUCGGAACAACACAGGGAAACUUGUGCUAAUACCGGAUAAGCCCUUACGGGGAAAGAUUUAUCGCCGAAAGAUUGGCCCGCGUCUGAUUAGCUAGUUGGUGAGGUAAUGGCUCACCAAGGCGACGAUCAGUAGCNGGUCUGAGAGGAUGAUCAGCCACAUUGGGACUGAGACACGGCCCAAACUCCUACGGGAGGCAGCAGUGGGGAAUAUUGGACAAUGGGCGCAAGCCUGAUCCAGCCAUGCCGCGUGAGUGAUGAAGGCCCUAGGGUUGUAAAGCUCUUUUGUGCGGGAAGAUAAUGACGGUACCGCAAGAAUAAG